GUUGGUUGUUCAGAGAUGUUGAGAGAUCAACCAGGAGACUGUGGGAGGAUGUGAGCUCUCUGAGAAGGAGAAGAAGUAUUUACAUUAGAAGUCUGAUUCACAGGUCGGGGCAAAGUGAAAAACAUCUGCACUUUUAAAAGAUCAUCAGGAUACUUGCCAACAAGGUCACAGUGGACUCCAUGGAGCAACUGCCCUCAGGAGGCAACAGAUGGCUUCACUUGCUUAUUGGCUGAAGGUCUGCAAGGACUCAAUUCACAUAUCUGAUCAUACCUGGAGUCCAGACUUUCUCCUGAUGCCUGACCCCUUUGCCAUUAGGUCGGCUCCGUAUGACUGAGUUCUAGCCAGUGAGGUAUGGGCAGAAGUGAUGUGUACCAAUUGCGAGCUCGACUUUUGAAAUCAUCCCACGUGAUCCUCCUGCCAUCUACCAGCCAUCCUUUUUGAUCUUGAAGGUCUUAUGCCUCAGAUUGUGUAACUACAGGAUGAAGGAAGGCCACUCAACCCACACUUGGACAUGAUGACAAUAUUUGAGAAAAAGAAAGAGAAGAGGAUGGACUUUUUAGACUCAGCUAUACUGCUGAGUUCAAAUGUCUUGGAACUUAGUAGCUGUUCUUUUUGAGGGGAGUCUCUCUGAUGCUUGGAAUGAAUCCUGCUGAAUCAAUGCUGAUGCUUGGAGAUCUUCAAGUCUUUUCCCUUUUUCCCAUUGCUCAUGAUGUCUAUAUAACCUCCAAACAUGCAUCCCACUCCUCUGCCGAAAGACCAUUUUUUUAUAUCUUCAGUGAUGGUCUAGGCCAGGUUAAUUGACUUUUCUUUUUUCUUAAGCCAACUAAAGUCCUCACCACAAA
ensembl:lncRNA LINC01811 long intergenic non-protein coding RNA 1811